rnacentral:rRNA from 1 species
GAUGAACGCUGGCGGCGUGCCUAAUACAUGCAAGUCGAGCGAACAGAUGAGGAGCUUGCUCCUCUGACGUUAGCGGCGGACGGGUGAGUAACACGUGGAUAACCUACCUAUAAGACUGGGAUAACUUCGGGAAACCGGAGCUAAUACCGGAUAAUAUAUUGAACCGCAUGGUUCAAUAGUGAAAGACGGUUUUGCUGUCACUUAUAGAUGGAUCAGCGCCGCAUUAGCUAGUUGGUAAGGUAACGGCUUACCAAGGCAACGAUGCGUAGCCGACCUGAGAGGGUGAUCGGCCACACUGGAACUGAGACACGGUCCAGACUCCUACGGGAGGCAGCAGUAGGGAAUCUUCCGCAAUGGGCGAAAGCCUGACGGAGCAACGCCGCGUGAGUGAUGAAGGUCUUCGGAUCGUAAAACUCUGUUAUUAGGGAAGAACAAAUGUGUAAGUAACUAUGCACGUCUUGACGGUACCUAAUCAGAAAGCCACGGCUAACUACGUG